GCGCCCGUAGUCUCAGUGGAUAGAGGGUCUGACUUCGGAUCAGAAGGUCGGGGGUUCGAAUCCUCCCGGGCGUG